GUUAAGCGACUAAGCGUACACGGUGGAUGCCCUGGCAGUCAGAGGCGAUGAAGGACGUGCUAAUCUGCGAUAAGCGUCGGUAAGGUGAUAUGAACCGUUAUAACCGGCGAUUUCCGAAUGGGGAAACCCAGUGUGAUUCGUCACACUAUCAUUAACUGAAUCCAUAGGUUAAUGAGGCGAACCGGGGGAACUGAAACAUCUAAGUACCCCGAGGAAAAGAAAUCAACCGAGAUUCCCCCAGUAGCGGCGAGCGAACGGGGAGCAGCCCAGAGCCUGAAUCAGUGUGUGUGUUAGUGGAAGCGUCUGGAAAGGCGCGCGAUACAGGGUGACAGCCCCGUACACAAAAAUGCACAUGCUGUGAGCUCGAUGAGUAGGGCGGGACACGUGGUAUCCUGUCUGAAUAUGGGGGGACCAUCCUCCAAGGCUAAAUACUCCUGACUGACCGAUAGUGAACCAGUACCGUGAGGGAAAGGCGAAAAGAACCCCGGCGAGGGGAGUGAAAAAGAACCUGAAACCGUGUACGUACAAGCAGUGGGAGCACGCUUAGGCGUGUGACUGCGUACCUUUUGUAUAAUGGGUCAGCGACUUAUAUUCUGUAGCAAGGUUAACCGAAUAGGGGAGCCGAAGGGAAACCGAGUCUUAACUGGGCGUUAAGUUGCAGGGUAUAGACCCGAAACCCGGUGAUCUAGCCAUGGGCAGGUUGAAGGUUGGGUAACACUAACUGGAGGACCGAACCGACUAAUGUUGAAAAAUUAGCGGAUGACUUGUGGCUGGGGGUGAAAGGCCAAUCAAACCGGGAGAUAGCUGGUUCUCCCCGAAAGCUAUUUAGGUAGCGCCUCGUGAAUUCAUCUCCGGGGGUAGAGCACUGUUUCGGCAAGGGGGUCAUCCCGACUUACCAACCCGAUGCAAACUGCGAAUACCGGAGAAUGUUAUCACGGGAGACACACGGCGGGUGCUAACGUCCGUCGUGAAGAGGGAAACAACCCAGACCGCCAGCUAAGGUCCCAAAGUCAUGGUUAAGUGGGAAACGAUGUGGGAAGGCCCAGACAGCCAGGAUGUUGGCUUAGAAGCAGCCAUCAUUUAAAGAAAGCGUAAUAGCUCACUGGUCGAGUCGGCCUGCGCGGAAGAUGUAACGGGGCUAAACCAUGCACCGAAGCUGCGGCAGCGACGCUGAUGCGUUGUUGGGUAGGGGAGCGUUCUGUAAGCCUGUGAAGGUGUGCUGUGAGGCAUGCUGGAGGUAUCAGAAGUGCGAAUGCUGACAUAAGUAACGAUAAAGCGGGUGAAAAGCCCGCUCGCCGGAAGACCAAGGGUUCCUGUCCAACGUUAAUCGGGGCAGGGUGAGUCGACCCCUAAGGCGAGGCCGAAAGGCGUAGUCGAUGGGAAACAGGUUAAUAUUCCUGUACUUGGUGUUACUGCGAAGGGGGGACGGAGAAGGCUAUGUUGGCCGGGCGACGGUUGUCCCGGUUUAAGCGUGUAGGCUGGUUUUCCAGGCAAAUCCGGAAAAUCAAGGCUGAGGCGUGAUGACGAGGCACUACGGUGCUGAAGCAACAAAUGCCCUGCUUCCAGGAAAAGCCUCUAAGCAUCAGGUAACAUCAAAUCGUACCCCAAACCGACACAGGUGGUCAGGUAGAGAAUACCAAGGCGCUUGAGAGAACUCGGGUGAAGGAACUAGGCAAAAUGGUGCCGUAACUUCGGGAGAAGGCACGCUGAUAUGUAGGUGAAGCGACUUGCUCGUGGAGCUGAAAUCAGUCGAAGAUACCAGCUGGCUGCAACUGUUUAUUAAAAACACAGCACUGUGCAAACACGAAAGUGGACGUAUACGGUGUGACGCCUGCCCGGUGCCGGAAGGUUAAUUGAUGGGGUCAGCGCAAGCGAAGCUCUUGAUCGAAGCCCCGGUAAACGGCGGCCGUAACUAUAACGGUCCUAAGGUAGCGAAAUUCCUUGUCGGGUAAGUUCCGACCUGCACGAAUGGCGUAAUGAUGGCCAGGCUGUCUCCACCCGAGACUCAGUGAAAUUGAACUCGCUGUGAAGAUGCAGUGUACCCGCGGCAAGACGGAAAGACCCCGUGAACCUUUACUAUAGCUUGACACUGAACAUUGAGCCUUGAUGUGUAGGAUAGGUGGGAGGCUUUGAAGUGUGGACGCCAGUCUGCAUGGAGCCGACCUUGAAAUACCACCCUUUAAUGUUUGAUGUUCUAACGUUGACCCGUAAUCCGGGUUGCGGACAGUGUCUGGUGGGUAGUUUGACUGGGGCGGUCUCCUCCUAAAGAGUAACGGAGGAGCACGAAGGUUGGCUAAUCCUGGUCGGACAUCAGGAGGUUAGUGCAAUGGCAUAAGCCAGCUUGACUGCGAGCGUGACGGCGCGAGCAGGUGCGAAAGCAGGUCAUAGUGAUCCGGUGGUUCUGAAUGGAAGGGCCAUCGCUCAACGGAUAAAAGGUACUCCGGGGAUAACAGGCUGAUACCGCCCAAGAGUUCAUAUCGACGGCGGUGUUUGGCACCUCGAUGUCGGCUCAUCACAUCCUGGGGCUGAAGUAGGUCCCAAGGGUAUGGCUGUUCGCCAUUUAAAGUGGUACGCGAGCUGGGUUUAGAACGUCGUGAGACAGUUCGGUCCCUAUCUGCCGUGGGCGCUGGAGAACUGAGGGGGGCUGCUCCUAGUACGAGAGGACCGGAGUGGACGCAUCACUGGUGUUCGGGUUGUCAUGCCAAUGGCACUGCCCGGUAGCUAAAUGCGGAAGAGAUAAGUGCUGAAAGCAUCUAAGCACGAAACUUGCCCCGAGAUGAGUUCUCCCUGACUCCUUGAGAGUCCUGAAGGAACGUUGAAGACGACGACGUUGAUAGGCCGGGUGUGUAAGCGCAGCGAUGCGUUGAGCUAACCGGUACUAAUGAACCGUGAGG
rnacentral:rRNA from 1 species